AGUGAACGCUGGCGGUAGGCCUAACACAUGCAAGUCGAACGGCAGCACAGUAAGAGCUUGCUCUUACGGGUGGCGAGUGGCGGACGGGUGAGGAAUACAUCGGAAUCUACUUUUUCGUGGGGGAUAACGUAGGGAAACUUACGCUAAUACCGCAUACGACCUACGGGUGAAAGCAGGGGAUCUUCGGACCUUGCGCGAUUGAAUGAGCCGAUGUCGGAUUAGCUAGUUGGCGGGGUAAAGGCCCACCAAGGCGACGAUCCGUAGCUGGUCUGAGAGGAUGAUCGGCCACACUGAAACUGAGACACGGUCCAGACUCCUACGGGAGGCAGCAGUGGGGAAUAUUGGACAAUGGGCGCAAGCCUGAUCCAGCCAUACCGCGUGGGUGAAGAAGGCCUUCGGGUUGUAAAGCCCUUUUGUUGGGAAAGAAAAGCAGCAGGUUAAUACCCCGCUGUUCUGACGGUACCCAAAGAAUAAGCACCGGCUAACUUCGU
rnacentral:rRNA from 1 species